GAUAAAGUUUGUUUGCCUCUAUUUGAGAGCUUGCAGAUUUCGUGUUUUAUAUUUUACUCAUUUUUACUUCAAUUUAUUUAAUUUUUCUUAAAUCGUAAAUUAAACAAAUUUAUCGUUAAAAAGUGGUACGAUAGUUACAAAUUAAACUGUACGACGGAAAGGUUAACCAACAAAGCAGUUGACAUUUUUGUGUGAUGACGCGUGCUGCAUACAAAAUUUGAUGUUGGGAGUUGUAUUUAUAUAUGCAAAGUUUAAUAGAUUCAAUAAACAUUUUCAGAGCUGAUUCCAAUUUGCUCAUUUUCGUCAGUGACUAAUAAUAACGAAUAUUUGGGAAUAUAUCUAUGUUGUGAUCACAUUGAAAAAAGAGUAUAACCAUGUCGGAACCAGAUAAAAAAUCUAAUGAACCAUAUCGUCAAUUAGAAGAAUCACAUGGUGCCGAGUUAAAUGUUGGCGUACAAAAUACAUCGAGUUGUCCUACGAGCUUGAAUGCUAUUGAAGGGUCGAUGGAACUUUCCUCUGUUGUGGUUAUACCUGAUGAUACUUUUACUGUGGUACAAGCUAUCAAUGCAUUAGGCUUUGGAAAAUUCCAAGUAAAAUUGUCUCUAUUCACGGGUCUUUGUUGGAUGGUAGAUAGUAUGGAGAUCACAAUACUGAGUAUUCUAAGUCCAUCCUUACAUUGUGAUUGGGGUAUUUCUAGAUACCAGCAAGCACUGACCACAACGGUAGUAUUUCUUGGUAUGAUGUUAAGCUCUACUUUUUGGAAUAAUUUAAGCGACAGAUAUGGUCGUAAGCAAGCUUUAACUUUGUGUGCGGUAUUAUUGGCCUAUUAUGCAUUUCUAAGUUCUUUGGCACCAAAUUUUCUCUGGAUCCUAUUGCUUAGAGGAGUUGUAGGAUUUGCUAUUGGUUGUGUACCACAAUCGGUAACAUUGUAUGCAGAGUUUUUGCCAGCAAAACAACGAGCAAGAUGUGUUAUUUUACUGGAUUGUUUUUGGGCUCUUGGAGCUUGUUUCGAAGUGGCGAUUGCAUUAAUCGUUAUGCCCAAUUUUGGUUGGAGAUGGCUUCUUAUAUUAUCGUCCAUUCCAUUAUUUAUAUUUGCUGUAAUAACACCGUGGCUGCCAGAAUCUACAGUAUUUGAUAUGACAACUGGAAAAACAGAUCGUGCAAUUUCAACAUUAGAACGUGUAGCUAGAGAAAAUAAAAAAUCAUUGCCUGUAGGAAGACUAGUUAUGGAUAGAUUUUAUCAAGGUCAUCAUGGUCGAUUUAAAGAUGUUCUGAGUAAAGAAAUGUACAGAACGUCUGCUUUACUUUGGCUUGUAUGGAUGAGUACAGCAUUCUGCUACUAUGGAGUGGUAUUAAUGACAACUGAACUUUUUCACACAUCCUCAGAGCAAUGUAGCACAUGGAGUACGAGCAACAAUGAAGGUACAUGCCAACUUGACUGCCGAUUGCGGCGUAGUGACUACAUCGAUCUACUUUGGACAACAUUGGCGGAAUUUCCUGGCAUAUUUUCUACUGUUUUCGCGAUCGAGAAAAUAGGCAGACGAAAGACAAUGGCUUGCCAGUUAGUCAUGUUCGCCAUAGUAGUUUGCUUUUUAAGCAGAACCUGUUUGUUGAGUAGAGCAGUGUUGACCAUUGCCAUUUUCCUAGCCAGAGGCUUAAUUGCCGGUGUGUUUCAAGCUGCGUACGUAUACACGCCAGAAGUAUACCCUACACAUUUACGAAGUAUAGGUGUAAGUGCGUGUAGCGCUAUGGCACGAAUCGGUGCUAUGAUCACUCCAUACAUAGCACAAGUAUUUUUACAAUGGUCCAUCACGGGAACCAUGAUCACUUAUGCGACAACCGCUUUGUGUGCUGCAAUUGCUACGCUUAUACUUCCCGUGGAGACCAAGAAUCAACAAUCAAAUGACGCAAGUCACGAAAAUAGAUAGACAUUUCUGUAACGAAGUAUCUUAAUAUUGACCGAAAGUUACUACUUUGUUGCAUUAUUUAAGAUUACACAAUAUACAAACAUAAAGACUGACAUAUAUGCGACUUUCAAGUAAAGUGCCAAAACAAAUAUUAAUCAUGAAUGCUCUAAAUUUCGUCAUAUCCACAACUUUGAAUCUAUUUUUAAAGAUAA
rnacentral:misc_RNA from 1 species